CCAGCAAAGAAGCGUUCAGGUGCGCAUGCGCGCCCAACAGGGAACCCCGUGCAAAUCGGGGACGGACCCGCCGCUGUGAUCCCGGCCUCGCUCCGAGGAGGCCAUCCUUUCAGCCCGGUACGCCACUGUUGGCCUCAGGCCAAUGGGAAGGCUGCUGAAAGGAGGGAGAGUCAGAAGACCUGCCUGAACGAUGCGUACCGG
rnacentral:ncRNA from 2 species